AGAUGGAAAAGAGCUAACAUAUCCACACUUACUUCUGGCUGUGUCACUGACCCAACAGAGGCCAGGAGGUCCAGCAUAGCAAGCAUGGCUCCAGGAUGAAUGAUGACAGCAUCAGAACUCUGGAAAGAUGUAGUUGCCACAUGUAGUUUCAGGUCAGCGACAUUUUUAGGAGGGUAAACAGGGGGAGUUGAAACAGAAUGAUAUGCAUGCCUGUAAAAAAGAAAGAAGGGUAAUUUAGCAUUAAAUUCAAAUACAUUCUCUGUUCCAUUUCUUCAUCUUUUGUUAACUUUAUCCACUGAUAAACAAAAACCUUUGUAAUUCAAGACUGGGUUACAAAACACUUUAAGGUUGGGAUAUGAAAAAGCAAUAUAUUAUCAAUUCUUAGAGUUACAUACAAUUUAACCAUCGAUUCUUCUAGACUAUGUCUUUACCACUUGUCACUGGGAUUGUUUCAUUAAAGAAGGGCACAUGAUGACCAAAGUUAACAUUCCUCUCUGAUAGACUUGAAAGUGCUAAGAGAGUAAAUCCUCAAAGCUCUCAUCACACGGAAGUUUUUUUCCUUGUAUUUAUUUGAGAUGAUGGAUGUUAACUAAACUUACUGUGGUAAUCAUUUUACAACAUGGGGUAGGCAAGUCAUUAUGUUGUAUACCUUAACUUGUAACAGUGCUCUAUGUCAAUCACGUCUCAAUAACACACACACACAAAGAAGAAUGAUACCUGUAUCAGAAGAUACAACAAACAGGUGAAAUCACAGUGAUUCAAACUCUAGGAAAGGUGAAAGUUCUGAUAAAAUAUGAUGAGGGUAUAAAUUGAAUGAAGUCAAAUCCCUCACUAAGAUUUUCUUUUGAAAUGACCUAUGUGUUUGUAACCUUUCCCUAAACUGUGGGCAACAUAAGCAAGAACUAACAAGAUCUGGGGCGCCUGAGUGGCUCUGUCGGUUAAGCAUCCGACUUGAAAGCUCAGGUCUUGAUUUUGCAGUUCAUGGGUUCGAGCCCACACUGGGCUCUGUGCUGAUAGCUUGGAGCCAGAAGCCUGCUUCAGAUUUUGUGUGUGUGUGUGUGUGUGUGUGUGUGUGUGUGUGUGUGUGUGUUUCUUUCUCUGCUUUUCCCCUGCUUACGCACUCUCAAAAUUAAACAUUAAAAAAAAAAAUUACCCACAGAUGGUCACGUUAAGAAAUAAAAUGUCUUAUUAAAAAAAAAGAGGGGCGCCUGGGUUGUCCAGUCAGUUGAGCAUCUGACUUUGGCUCAGGUCAUGAUCUUGCAGUCCGUGAGUUCGAGCCCCGCGUCGGGCCCUGUGCUGACAGCUCAAAGCCUGAAGCCUGCUUCUGAUUCUGUGUCUCCCUCUCUCUCUGCCCCUCCCCCGCUCAUGCUCUGUCUCGCUCACUCUCAAAAAUGAAUAAAUGUUAAAAAAAAAUUUUUUUUUUUUAAAUGAGCUGACAACAUCUAUAACUGGGUCAAACUGAGUCAGGGAUGGCUCAGAAUCUUGGCCACCCGACAAUAUAUAUGUUAAGCAUCAAGGAAGUUUUCCUUUAGCUUAUUUGGAACUACGCUCACAUUCUUCUGCAUUAAUUCACCCCUGAAAAUAUUCAUCACAAUUUUUAAAAAAUUAGAAGGCAUAUUUUUACAUAACAAGCUUCUAUGAGAUAGAAAGCCUAGCCAUGUCCUGAACAUUCCACAUUUCUUCUCAUCAAUGAUCUCCACUUUCUAUUUCAUACUAUUCUUCUACAAUUCAUGAGUUUUGCACAUUUUGUAUCCUGGCACUAGAAAACAGAUGCUUGUGCCUUCAGCCUAUGGGAGCUCUUUGUUCCAAUGAAUUGGUUUCAGCAUAAUUUGUCUAUUGCUGAGCUCUGUCACUGGGAGCAGUGCAGUUUCAGCGCUCUGGCACAAGAGCAGCUUGGGAAACAGAUGCUUUAAGUCAGUGAUUUUGUAGCAAAGAUCUGGCAUUGCCGUGGCUGUUGUUUUUUUUUUUUUUGUUUGUUUUUUUUUAAAGUACCAUUCUCUUUUUAACAGAGAUUCCAGGAAAGUAUUCAGCUCUACUUAUAUAUAAAAAAAAAAACACACGGGCUCUCCUAGUUUAUUUAAAGUCAGCAUGUCCUCCACCCACUCAUUUUUUUCAACUGCUUUUUUUUUUGCCGUUUUUGUUAUUUAUUUCUAAACUUACUAGGAUAGAUUUCUAAAUGUUUAUUACCAAUAGCUAUCCUCUUCCUAUGUUGCUUCUUUUAUUCUGUGAAAUAUUAUGAUCCCAUCUAGAAAAAAAGAUGAUAGUGUAGUAGGAAUUCUGAACUAUUAAGAAAUUUCAUAAAAGCUGUUUAUCAUUACACAUAAUUUGAAGGAAAACCAAAUUCUAGUUGUAUACUUUAGUCACAGUCCUUCCAAAAUUAUUUCUGAGUUGCCAGAUUUAAUGUAGAUUGAAUUUAAAUUAUGGAUAUACCUAGGAAGGAGGCUUUGUGCCUUCAGAAAACAAACUCUUUAUUAAUUAAUAUAUACCCAUUAUACCAGUACCUUUAAAAAAAAAGUUUAUUUAUUUGGGGGAGAGGAGAGAGAGCGAGCGAGAGAGAGCGCACGCGCGUGUGGGCACAAGCAGGGGACAAGUAGAGACAGGGAGAUAGAGAAUCCCAAGCAGACUCUGUGCUGUCAGUGCAGAUUCCAACAUGGGGCUCGAUCUCACAGAUCGUGAGAUCACGCAUGACCCGAGCCAACAUCAAGAGUUGGAUGCUCAAUUGAUUGAGCCAUCCAGACACCCCACAGUAGUAUGCCUUUUAAUCUUAUAUAAGAUAACAAUACUCUGAUAUAAAAAUUGCAUUCAUUCUUCUCAAACUGGGAAAAUACUGUAAACACUGCUAAAUCUAAAACAUGGUAUUUAUUAACUAAAAUUAGGCCUAUUUUAACAGGCAUUAUAUAAUAUUAUUAAUACUUAUUUAGCCACUUAGGUAUCACCACAGGUAUUAUCAUUUUUAAAAUUUAGACAUGAGAGUAAGUUUAUUAAACGGAUAAUCUCAAGCGAGACCUACUCAUUUACAAACGUAGGCUAAAACAACAUUUCAAAAUUUAGUUAAUUUUUAUGCUGCCAUUACUUUUAAAACUUAGAAAAAUUGCUACUUAAUAUUUCAAUCUAAAUUUUCAUAUAUAUUUAAGAUUUACCUACCUCUUUGGGGAAUACAUUCUUGAAUAUUUAAAUUCUGAACAUGCUUUGCCUUAAUUACCAUCAAGUGUGUAUAGACACUGAGUAACAGAUACCAUGUUUGAAUAAUACCUAGUACUCGCCACCUUUUUCUCCCCUGCAGAUAUAUUAUAGAAAACCUUGGUUUUUAUUUUGUAUUUUGUUUUCGUCUCCUUCCUCUAACUGUGAUUAAAUAUCGUUCAGCUAUAAUUCUGUUCCAUUAUUCUUUCUGAAUAAUGAAUACUAAUGAAAAAUGUUAUGAGUUUUGGUUUUCUAAAUACUAUAAGGUUUCUUAGGCAUUCCCCUCCCCCCAUUCUUAAAAAAAAGAGAAGAAUCUCCAGCAUUUUACAUACCAGACAAGAAUCACAAACUCAAAACUUCCUUCGUGUCUGAAAAUUCCAAUAAGCCAUAAAAACUAAUACGUUGUUGGUUUCUCCUUUGGCCAACAAAAACAACAUAUUUUGCCACAAGAAGAAAUGCCAUGAGCUGAUGUAAUUUGUUGAGACGUUCUAGAGAUAUUCUAAUUUCAAAAGUUACCAUAUCUGCAUGUGAAAAUAAAAGCACUGUUUUAUUAGCUUAUGAUUCUUAUCACUGAGCAAAAUCUAUGUAACCUGACCAGAAUGGCAACCUGAAAAUGUCAACACUGACCUUACUAUUAGCAUGAACAAUAUUGGGAACUUCCUUGGGGUAAAGCCAACCUGAGAGCCUAAUUAGCAUUCCCACAGAAAAGAUUCAGUUAAACAGGACUGUGGAUUCAGUGAAGGUUUCCCCCAAGUCAAAGAUAUGGCAUCCUCACAUGCAGCUGUGUUGCAAAUGAUGACAAAAUGUUCUUGAUCUAAGCCCUUAAAUAACUCUCUAUGAUAUGGAAUGAAAUUUCCCUUUGUCAAAUUAUCAUUUAAAUAAAACAGUUCUGAUGAAUUUCCUUUCAUGUGUUGCUUUAAUCUAUGAAUUUCUAUUGAAAGUAUUUUAUAGUUUUUGGUUAAUACUAAAAAAUGGUUAAAUGUUUUUAAACACAGCAAUUUUUAUACCUUUACCCUUCAGGGAAUCAUAAAUGUGACUUUUAAGAAUGAAAACUAGUAAUUAAAACUAUUUUUCUAAUAUCCAAUAUGUGGGAUAGUGAGCACACGUGAAUCUUCAAACACUAAGAAUACCUUUUACUGCCUUCAUUUUAGCAACAGAAGAUACUGUAUCAACUCAAAUUGAUUUUAUGGUUUCUUGCAUUAAAAAAAAAUGUUCUUAGAACGACAAAAAAGGAAUAGUUUUAAAAUAGAAAUACACUGAACAACACUAAAUUUGUUUAAGACUAUUCUGAACUCUUCUAUGAUUUACUGUCAGAAAAUGAGCUGUAAGCUUCAGUGCAAACAUAAGAGAAAAAGGAAAAUACAAGUCCAUAUAUCUGAUGAAUAUUACUACUGAAAUAUAUUGAAAUACAGGAUCUGUAAUAAAUACUUUUAAUACAAAAACUCCACUAACAUUCGAGUUUCAAAUCCUGAAUAAUAGAGAUAAAAUUAAUCAAUAACAUAGCUGAACCUCAGUAUUCAAUUUUAGAAAGCUACAAUGGAAGAAUAUUAAUACAAGACCAAAAGACUUGUACUUGGUUAUGAGAAAAACUGGGGAAGGAAGGGUAUUGGUUUCAACUGCACAGACUAUGAUCAUUUUAAAUAUAGGUUGCAAAUGGAAUCUUAAAUGGAUCUUAAUUGUACUCUUGUCAACCAACUGCUGGUUCUUUAUAUUCAUAAGCUUUAUAUACAAGGAAGACUAGAUCAGCUUAGAAACAGAUAUACACAGAACCAAUGAAAGCAACAGCUAGGUAAGUUUUUUUAUUCGUUUUUUCCAAAGGCUGGCCAUGACAAGUCUCUACAACAGCAUCACAUUUCAACUGGUUGAACCUGAUUGAGAAAACACACAUUUCCUUGCCAGUGCUGUGAUGUUCAUUUUGGAGUAAUGGUAAAAACUGAAGAAUGCUUCCUAGCACCUUUAAAGUAAAAAGAAAAAGUACUCUACGUAAAGAAGCACUAAGUCCUCAUUUCUAAAUUAAUUUUGAUAAAAGAUACACUGCUCUCAAGGCAAAAUGUAUAUUUCACUCUAAAUAUUAGAGUCAAAUGACAAAAUUCUAAACGUCCCUCAUAUCCUCAUGGCAUUAACACAUUUUGUGCUCAUAAAUAUACUCAGAAGUUGACAAUUCUAAAACCUAAAAAAAUCUGAAAGCCAAAAAAUUUUUGUACAAAGCACAAUCACCACAUUUACACAUAAUUAAGCACAGGGAAGAAAAAAAACACACAAAUAAAGAUUGACUUCCAUUAUAAGAUCAGUACCUUUUCCUGGACAAAGCUGGUGUACCCCAAGGAGAGGGGAGAGAAGACUCACUUGUCAGGCAAGGAGGGAUCUGUUCUGCACGACUACAGACAACAAAACAGACAGGGUGGUUUAGAGAGGUUAGAAGAGAACACCAGGUUGGCAGUUGGUUAGUUUCACAAGAAAUACCAGUAAAAGUUUAAUAAGGAACACCCUCCAUACUCAGCAGGAACAAGAAACAAGACUACAACACAUGCACUGAGGGAAACAGAAAAGCAUGCUUAAGGCAGAUGCUUAUCCAUUAAUGUUACACUUAACACAUUUGUUAAACAGAGUGUCAUAAGGCCUGCUUUUCACAAAGUAAACUAAAACUGAGGUAUACUAACUAGGAUGAGUAGAAAAGGGGAAAGAGGUUGAAUCUACAUAUACAAAUUUCAAUUUCAAACAGCUUAUUCCUUGAAUGCUAUGCCAUACUAUGUUUCUUUUUAACAAUAUGUAUGCAUUUUUAAAAAGUAAAAAACUGGAAAACAGUGUUUCUUACAUUACUUGUAUUUUCUUAUCUGAAGAGUAAGGUCUAAGAAAUAUUGUCAAGAAGCAAGAAACAUCUCUCAGUAGAUAUUUCAAAGUAGAUACUUCACAGUAAAUGAUACAAAACCUAUUAGAAGCUAUCCACAUAGAGUUACUUGCUUUACAUAUGGGGGCAAUAUAGAAAACAUUUCAGUUAUCUCAUGAAAUAAAACUAUGUUAACUUUAAAAGUGAUAAUGCGUGGGACAAAUCAGCACCAUGACCACUCUCACAUUAUCUUCAAGCCGAGAACACUUUAAUCACUGAAAAUAACUAAUUUAAGUAAAGUGGUACUCCUAUGAUCCACCUUAGAACCCUGGAACUCCCUCAUUGUAGAUAUUAUCACAAUAUAUUGUAGUUGCUUAUUUAUGUGUCUGUGUUUUAGCUAAAGGAUGGCCACGUCUAAAGGAGUCUUGUGCUUGAACUCUCAAAAUAACAUCGCGUGGAACAGUUGUUCGUAAAGUACUUUUUAAUGAACGAAUAAGUAAAGAAAUCUGAUAGACUCUUGAACUAUCAUCGUCUCUUAUGGAACUAUAUUCUUUUUCAAGGAUCAUGAAAUAUUGAGAGUGAUUAUGAAUGUUGAGAAUAUAUUCUCCGUCUGGAAAUACAUAUAAUCAUAACCACUGUCUCCUGCUGAUAACUAAUAUCUUUAAGUCCGGAUAUACCUAAUGUUGAGAAUAGAGGAGAAAGAACAAUAGUAAAUACCAGCAUUAAAGUAAACUUUAUAGAAACUUACUUUAAGUACAUCAAGAGCUAACUGACCCUAGAUUUACAAAUAAUACACAAAUGUUCAUGUUGAAAACCUUAACAUCAGAGCAACGGUAAUAUUCGCAAAUAAGUGAUAAACAAGCAAAUAAAAGAUUCAUUUUCAUUUCCUUUCAAGUUAACUUAUAAUUCAAGCCUUAAUGCUGAAGUCACACAGAGCAUCCCUUUAAUUCAGAGCAGAGCAAAGCCAUACCUGUCAAAAGAAUCUGUAGCUACUUUGUAGAGAUAAAUAAAGAGUUUACUGCAGUGCCGUAAAGUGGGUGACACUGUGUCCAUCGAGAUUACAUCUUCCUCCAAAAGUCUUUGAAAUGGCUGUGUGUUUGAGGGGAAGACAUUCAUGGGGCUUAUUUUUCUUAGGUCUGAGAAGCAGCCAAGAAAUCGAACAGCAUCUGCCAACUUCUCAUACUGAAUCUCUGUUUUGAAGAAAUGAGAGUUGGCUGGCUCAUAGCGCAUUGCUGCAGUCAAUGUGCAAAACACAGUGUGGAGAAGUUCAAACACUUGAUUCUGGUUCACUUUCUCCCAGCCAUUCUUGGGUGGUGAGCUCAAAGACCUUUCCAUGGCAACAAGCAAGGAUGUAAUGUACACAAAUCCUCCAACUUUCCUAAAAACUGUUCUUGAACGAUGGCUUUCUCGAAGGACUGAUAGGAGGGCCUACAGGGGAUGAAAAAAACAAAACCUCUUAUAAUUCAAAUUAAAGCAAA
rnacentral:lncRNA from 1 species